GCAGAAACUGCCAAAAAAAACAAAUGGCGGUUCAUUUUUUCCCUCCCUUUUCAAAAUCCCUCCAAUAAACCAAGCCCUUUUUCGUUUUCCCUCUUCUUUCGCCAAACACUAUAAUCGUCUGUAUUUUUUUGAAUUUUCAGAAAUCAAAAUCUACCUCGUUUUGGAGCCCAUCAUCCGUAAUCAACUUUCCUUAUUCGCACUCUUUAAUCUUCGUAAUCUUCUUGGAUUCCUCUUCUCAAAAUCUUACCCUCAAUUUUCAUUGUUGAAUGCUCUAUGGAUGGUUGCACCUUUCCUUAAAUCUUAUAUACAUCCCCUUCUAAGCAGGGAUAUAUUCAUGGGUCUUCUUCAAUUUCUUCCAUAAUGAAUUUCAAGUGAGAUUUUUGGUGGGUCUUUACUUCUUCGCAUACUGAAACCCUAAAGGGUCAAUCUCUGGUUAUUUCAUUGUCAUUUCCUUUUGGGUCUUCAUCGUUACUACGAAUUGAAAUUGUUGAUAUUGAAUCUAUGGAUCAAUCACCUUCAAAUCGUAAUGGGCCUUCAUCAAUUUCAACCAUCAUAGCUGAUUCUGUCAAAACCCUAGACGGGUCUUCACAAUCUGCACAUAGUGAAGUCCAAGGCGACCGGUUUUACCUUCCUCGGUCAUCAAAUCCAAAUGGGUCUUCAAUUAUUUCAAUUAGUCCACGUAACCAGUUGUUGGUUCCUUCAUUGUCAGAUGGGUCACGCAGCAUACCUUUGGUCCCUAAUCAUAUUGAGACCAGAGAUUAUGGAUAUGUUGUUUCGUCUGAUGGAAGGGAGUCCUCAUUACCUUCACCAACGGAAUCUCAAGAUAACCAGUGUUUGGUCCCUGCAACAGUCGAUCCACGCCCAAGAGUAACCCGACAUGGCGAUGACGACAAUUUUGAUGACCACAAGUCAACUAUGCAAAUAGAGUCUGCCAGAGGCCCUUCAAGUUCAUUAGGCGCAAGGCUUCUUGAUGGAGAGCAUAAUGAAGAAGAUUUUGAUGAUACUGAAGUCAAUUUUGAAAAAGACAGACAACUUUCUGAGCGCCCAUGUGGCAAUCGUUAUUAUUCUUGCAACUGUAACGAAUUAUUGGGGGAUUUUUGCGGACCUCAUGAUCCUGCUUAUCAUCGUCGUGGACCUUGUGGUCAGUGUCGCGAUUUACAGUUUCAUUCACGGUGGAAUAGUCCAUGGCAACCUUCAAGAGAUCGCUGGGGGUGGCGCACAGAAAACGGAGAAGAUGUGCCCCUGGGUUUCUCGCUUCCUGUGAAGGAAACUGUAGUUACUGGGGUGGGUGCUGGGCUUUCUAAUCUUGGGAACACUUGCUUUAUUAAUGCAAUCCUGCAAUGCUUUACACAUACUGUGUCAUUUGUUAAGGCUCUUAAUUCUUGCAAUCAUUUAGUGCCUUGCCAGCGUGGUAUUGAAGGAUUUUGUGCUGUUUGUACCCUUCGUGAGCAUAUUGAAGCAUCCUUAGCCUCUUCUGGAAAGAUCAUAUCACCUUCGAAAGUUGUUGAUAAUUUAAAUCACAUUUCAUCUUGUUUUUAUAGGUACCAGCAGGAAGAUGCUCAUGAAUUCCUUCAAUGCUUAUUAGAUAAACUUGAAAGAUGUUGUCUGAAUUCAAACCUGAAUAAUGAGACCUCAUCUUCUGAAAAUGAUAACAUAGUGAAGUGCGUAUUUGGGGGUCGUCUUGUAAGCAAACUGCUAUGUUGCAACUGUGGUCACUUUUCUGAUAAAUAUGAACCCCUGAUUGACUUGAGUUUGGAGAUUGAGGAUGUGAAAACUCUUCAAGAUGCUCUAGAAUCUUUCACCAAGGUGGAGAAAAUUGAAGAUUCUGAUACAAAGUUUAGAUGUGACAACUGUAAGGAGGAAGUUUCUAGGGAGAAGCAACUUAUGCUGGAUCAGGCUCCUUCAGUUGCUACUUUGCAUUUAAAGAGAUUCAAGACAGAUGGAUCCUCUGUUGAGAAGAUUGGCAAGCAUGUAGAGUUUCCAUUAUAUUUGGACUUGAAGCCCUACACCAACGUCAGUCAAGAAAGUGAUGACAGUCAGGUAAAUUUGAAGUAUCAACUGUAUGCAACUGUGGUGCAUAAUGGAUCUUUACCCACUUCUGGUCAUUACUUUUGCUACGUACGGUCCUCUCCAAACACAUGGCAUAAGCUAGACGACUCAAUGGUAAUUAGGGUUGAUGAAGAGGUGGUGCUAUCUGAUGCUGCCUACAUUCUGUUUUAUGCCAGAGAGGGUACAGCCUGGUUUUCCAGUUUGAUGGAAUCACAAAAGGAUUGCUUGGACCUUUCAAAUACAUCACCCAAAUCAGUGCUGGAUAGCAUGGAUACUGAAUGCACUGCAUAUCCUCAUUUGGCAAAUAUUGAUGAUUGCAAAGCCAGUGCCACUAAAAGUUAUGUUGAGGGGGGCAGUGUAACUACAUUGGAUGUUGAGGGGGCUUCAGCCCACUCUUCAAAUGUAACGGUUCUUGAAGCAGAUCAGAUUAAUGAAACAGGGAAUGCUGCUGAGGGACUUUCUGCUCACGUUAAUGAAGCAGGGAAUGGUACUGAGGAAUUUUCAGCUCAUAUUUCUUGUGGAUCUAGACAGAGUGGAUUGAAAUUAUGCUGUGAUAAGUCCAGGCCUGGUAUCCUGGCCAAUGAUGUUUCUGUUUCACUUGGAGCUAUGGGUUGCCAUGAUGGAACUUUGCAUAAAGAGAAAAUGGAUGCUUUGCCUUCUAUUGAUGGAAAUAACUGUGGUGAGGGUGCUAACAGAAAUGAAAGAAAUGGUUUCCAUCCUCUGACGCCACCCAGAUCAAAAAGUCCAGAUAUGAAUUUUGGAGGGUUUUCAGGUAAGGAAUUUAUCCUGUCAAAUUCUUUAUAUGUUCUUUCUUUAGUUGCUAAUUAGAACUGAAUAUCCUUUCCAGAAGCAAGACAUCAUAUCCGGCAAGAUAAUUUGAAAUUGGAGAAUUCAUUAAACUAUAAUAGAUCUAAAAGGGCCACUAAUGAUGAGAGAAUGGAAGCUGUGAGAUUAACUAGGAGUAUGCCUAGUGCAAGGAAAAACAAACUUUUGGCUGCUAUGAAUCCCCAAAUUGACAAGAAAAGAAGAUUAAGAUCAUCGCCAUGUAAACAGGCUAGUCUUCCAGGUUCUCGCCGUAAGCUCAAUCAUCGUUUAGCAGCUUUGCAUUGAACAGGUAUACUUUAGAUUAAUUUAAGCAGAUUUUGGUCAGCAUAGAAUGAACAGUUAUUAAAUUCAAAGUUUCUUAAAGAAUGGAGAAUGUUUUGCCCUCUCAAGCUGCACGUUGGAUUCUUGGUUAUUCUCUAGUCUGCUGUAGUUGAUGUGGCUGGUUAUUUUUAGUCAUAACUUUGGAAUAUGUAAAGUUAAUUUGAGGGUUCAUUUAGAUAAUCUCACUAUAGUCUUUGGACACUGGAAUAAGGAGGGAUGGUCUUUUGAUUAGCACCUUAAGCUGUGCAAGUGCAGCAAUGUGGCUUAAGCAGAAUAUGGGAAUUGGAAGACAGGAUAUACCUGCUUUGGGUUUCUACUUUUUAUGGUAAUUUUAUUUUUUACUAAGUAAAUCUUAUUUUAUUAAUGACUAUCAUCAGAUGAAUUAUUAAAUUCUGAUCUAAUGGUGAAAUAUCCAAAGUAAAGACAGAAUUUUAAAUGAGAGUAACUUGUCAAAUUUCAUGAAAUUGCG
rnacentral:misc_RNA from 1 species